rnacentral:lncRNA from 1 species
AUGUCAGUUUUCAUUCCAAUUCCAAAGAAAGGCAUUGCAAAAGAAUGCUCAAACUACCACACAGUUGCACUCAUCUCACAUGCUAGUAAAGUAAUGCUCCAAAUUCUCCAAGCCAGACUUCAGCAAUACAUGAACCAUGAACUCCCUGAUGUUCAAGCUUGUUUUAGAAAAGGCAGAGGAACCAGAGAUCAAAUUGCCAACAUCUGCUGGAUCAUGGAAAAAGCAAGAGAGUUCCAGAAAAACAUCUAUUUCUGCUUUAUUGACUAUGCCAAAGCCUUUGACUGUGUGGAUCUCAAUAAACUGUGGAAAAUUCUGAAAGAGAUAGGAAUACCAGACCACCUAACCUGCCUCUUGAGAAAUCUGUAUGCAGGUCAGGAAGCAAUAGUUAGAACUGGACAUGGAACAACAGACUGGUUCCAAAUAGGAAAAGGAGUACGUCAAGGCUGUAUAUUGUCACCCUGCUUCUUUAACUUAUAUGCAGAGUACAUCAUGAGAAACGCUGGACUGGAAGAAGCACAAGCUGGAAUCAAGAUUGCCGGGAAAAAUAUCAAUAUCCUCAGAUAUGCAGAUGACACCACCCUUAUGGCAGAAAGUGAAGAGGAACUAAAAAGCCUCUUGAUGAAAGUGAAAGAGGAGAGUGAAAAAGUUGGCUUAAAGCUCAACAUUCAGAAAAUGAAGAUCAUGGCAUGCGGUCCCAUCACUUCAUGGGAAAUAGAUGGGGAAACAGUGUCAGACUUAAUUUUGGGGGGCUGCAAAAUCACUGCAGAUGGUGACUGCAGCCAUGAAAUUAAAAGACGCUUAUUCUUUGGAAGAAAAGUUAUGACCAACCUAGAUAGUAUAUUCAAAAGCAGAGACAUUACUUUGCCGACUAAGGUCCAUCUAGUCAAGGAUAUGGAUUUUCCUGUGGUCAUGUAUGGACGUGAGAGUUUGACUGUGAAGAAGGCUGAACACGGAAAAAUUGAUGCGUUUGAACUGUGGUGUUGGAGAAGACUCUUGAGAGUCCCUUGGACUGCAAGGAGAUCCAACCAGUCCAUUCUGAGGGAGAUCAGCCCUGGCAUUUCUUUGGAAGGAAUGAUGCUAAUGCUGAAGCUCCAGUACUUUGGACACCUCAAGCAAAGAGUUGACUCAUUUGAAAAGACUCUGAUGCUGGGAGGGACUGGGGGCAGGAGGAGAAGGGGACAACCCAGGAUGAGAGGGCUGGAUCGCAUCACAGACUGGAUGGACAUGAGUCUAAGUGAACUCCGGGAGAUGGUGAUGGACAGGGCGGCCUGGUGUGCUGCGAUUCAUGGGGUCGCAGAGAGUCGGACACGACUGAGCAACUGA